AACUUGCGUUUCACAUGAUGUUAGCAGACUUUGGCAGGGUUCUCAGAGAGUUGGACUGGUCACACACACACACACACACAUUCUAAACCCUGUAAAGUAAAUCUCGCUGACCGUGCACGGCUGAGACGACCACAGAAGCCGUUGAAAAGUGGAAGCAACUCGUAAAUCAUAUGACCCUCUGAUUUAAACACUCCACGUCAUGUGACCAGCUGACAGCGGCAGCUUGAUUUCAUACAUUUCUCCAGCCUGUGCAGUUUGUUUACCUGCUGCAGCUUUCGGCAACUGAAGACGCAAGGAUGCUGAGGGAGACUACCUGUGUCCUGGUCCUGCUGGCGCUCGUGGCGCCGGUUCGGCCCAGAGGCUGCUCCAGCUUCUUCUGCCAGAAAUCUCGGCGCGUGAGCAGCGGCCACGGCGGACCCGACCCCGGGAAACCCUUGUUCCUUACGCCCUACCUGGAGGACGGGAGAAUCGACGAGGGCAGGAAGUUGAGUUUGGUGGACCCUCUGCCUGGAGACAACGUGAAGAGCUACUCCGGCUACCUGACCGUCAACAAGGCCUACAACAGCAACCUCUUCUUCUGGUUCUUCCCUGCACAGGAGAGACCUGAGGCGGCGCCCGUGUUGCUAUGGUUACAGGGCGGUCCGGGGGGCACCUCCAUGUUCGGGCUGUUUGUGGAACACGGCCCCUACCUGGUGCACCCCAACAUGACCGUGGGACUGAGGGACUACGCAUGGACCUCUCGCUACUCAGUGCUGUACAUCGAUAACCCGGUUGGCACUGGGUUCAGCUUCACAGAUGAUGACAAAGGCUUUGCCCAGAACCAGGAUGACGUUGGGAGGGACCUGUACAGUGCAUUGAUUCAGUUCUUCCAGAUCUUCACUGAGUUUCAGGCAAACGACUUCUACGCCACAGGAGAGUCCUAUGCAGGGAAGUAUGUGCCGGCCGUUGGAUACUACAUCCAUAAGAACAACCCCUCAGCCAAAGUCAAGAUCAACUUCAAAGGCGUCGCCAUCGGUGAUGGGCUGUGUGACCCAGAACUGAUGCUGGGGGGCUACGCAGACUUCCUGUACCAGACGGGGCUGGUGGACGAGCUGCAGAGGGCGUACGUGCUGCAGCAGACGGACACGGGGGUGCGCUUCAUACAGCAGCAGAAGUGGGUGGAGGCCUUCGAGGUGUUUGACAGCCUGCUGAACGGGGACAUCCUGCCCUACCCCUCCUUCUACCAGAAUGCCACAGGCUGCACCAAUUACUACAACUACAUGCAGUGCCAGGAGCCGGAGGAUCAGGAGUACUUCUCCCGCUUCGUGACGCUGCCGGCGGUGAGGAGGGGGAUCCACGUGGGCAACCUGAGCUUCCACGACGGCUCGGAGGUGGAGAAACACCUGGUGCAGGACGUCAUGAAGAGCAUCAAGCCUUGGCUGGGAGUACUGAUGGACAACUACAGGGUGUUGAUCUACAGCGGUCAGCUGGACGUGAUCGUGGCGGCGCCUCUGACGGAGCGGUUCCUGCCCACCGUCAACUGGACUGGAGCGGACGAGUACAAACGGACCCAGAGGUUCCCAUGGCGACUGCAGCCUGGCGACCCUGAAGUGGCUGGGUACGUGCGUCAGGUCGGAGAGUUCUUCCAGGUGAUUGUGCGCGGGGGCGGGCACAUACUCCCCUACGACCAACCACAGAGGUCCUUUGACAUGAUGGACAGGUUCCUCUCCACUAAGGGCUUCUCUGCUCACUGAUGGAAAGAGAAGUGAAGCUGAAUGGAGCCUUAAGUCCGUCCACACACACACACACACACACACACACACACACACACACACACACCAGAAUGGAGGUGCCUUAAGUCCGUCCCCCCCGCUGCCGUAGAGGAGGCUACACACACACACACACACACUCACACUCUCACACACCACACACACACACACACACACACACACACAGGAAGUAGCUGCCUCAGCCCUCAUGCUGCUGCUAGCUACACUGGCGCCUCUUGAUGAUGUCAUCAGUGAUGCGUUGAUGCCUCCUGAUGACCUCAUCACUCCAUGGCUUCAGCAUUGAUGCUCAGAAGGUUCCAUACAGUGUCUCUUUUUUAAAGUGAUUCAGUCGUGUGUGUGCGUGUGUGUGUGCGUGUGUGUGUGUGUGUGUGUGUGAGAGCCAAAUGUACAUGACCUGGUCUUGCUGACCUGAGAUGAUUUUGCUGUAUGAUUUCAAUAAAGACGUCACCUUGUC